CUCCAGUAACAAGGCCAGUUUCCCCUUUGAAUCCUCGAGCUCAAGCACUGCAGGGCAGUACCAGUGUGUCUAUCACUGCAGGAAAGACAGGUCAGAGUGGAGUGACCCCCUGCCCCUGGUGGGGACAGGUAGGAGGGAGGACCCGGGUCCCCUCCCACUGCGGCAGCGUCCUUACAGGCAGAGGGAGCAGAGUGUGGGCUCAGGGGGACGGACGUCUCCCCUCACAGCCCACACCUGCGGUGAGCGGGGUGAAGGCCCCCCUUUAACCCAGCCCCUUCCCCUCCCUCUCAGCAGCCGCGCCCUGUGGCGGCCUCAGGAGGGGGCGUGUCCCUGGCAGCUCACAGUUUGCAGCGGGCACUCUGCACCUGCUGAAGGAGGGAGGCGCCGACCCGCCCGACGCCGGACAUCGAGGACCCAUGGGAGGGGACAGGCCGUGGGCCCUGUGGGCCCCCUAAACUCCUCCCGUGGGGGAACCCACGGAUGCUAUGAUUCUCCCAGCUCCCUGCACAUGUGUGGUCACACCCCAGUCACCCUCUGCAUCGCCAGGUCACAGGGGUGUACAAGGAGCCCUCGCUCUCAGCCUAGCCGGGCUCUCUCGUGCUCCGUGGAGACAGCCUGAUCGCCGGAAUGUACAGGAAACCCUCCCUCUCAGCCCAGCUGGGGGCCUCAGAACCCUGCAGAGAGAACGGGACCCUGCAGUGUGGCUCUGAGGUCUGGUCCGAUCCCCUCCAUCUGUCCAAGGAGGGGUCACUCACUCCUCCCCAGUACCUUCGUCUGUAGGACACGGCUCCACCCUUUCAGAACAACUUCACCUUGAGUCCUGUGACCUCAGCCCACAGUGGGACCUACACGUGCUACAGC